CGCGCUCCGGCCGUUCCUAGCGGCGGCGGCGGCGGGGCAGGAUGAAGGACCGGACCGGGGAGCUGCGCGCUGCAAAGGACAGUGACGAUGAUGAUGAAGUCACCGUCAGCGUGGACCGGGAUCGCUUCAUGGAUGAGUUCUUCGAGCAGGUGGAAGAAAUUCGAGGAUUCAUCGAUAAAAUUUCAGAGAAUGUGGAGGAAGUGAAGAGGAAGCACAGUGCCAUUCUCGCCUCACCCAACCCUGAUGAGAGUGAGUAAGCUGAAAGCUCUGUGUGCCCUGCAGGC